UUAAGCGACUAAGCGUACACGGUGGAUGCCCUGGCAGUCAGAGGCGAUGAAGGACGUGCUAAUCUGCGAAAAGCGUCGGUAAGGUGAUAUGAACCGUUAUAACCGGCGAUGUCCGAAUGGGGAAACCCAGUGCAAUUCGUUGCACUAUCGUUAACUGAAUACAUAGGUUAACGAGGCGAACCGGGGGAACUGAAACAUCUAAGUACCCCGAGGAAAAGAAAUCAACCGAGAUUCCCCCAGUAGCGGCGAGCGAACGGGGAGCAGCCCAGAGUCUGAAUCAGCUUGUGUGUUAGUGGAACGGUCUGGAAAGUCCGACGGUACAGGGUGAUAGUCCCGUACACCAAAAUGCACAGGCUGUGAACUCGAAGAGUAGGGCGGGACACGUGGUAUCCUGUCUGAAUAUGGGGGGACCAUCCUCCAAGGCUAAAUACUCCUGACUGACCGAUAGUGAACCAGUACCGUGAGGGAAAGGCGAAAAGAACCCCGGCGAGGGGAGUGAAAAAGAACCUGAAACCGUGUACGUACAAGCAGUGGGAGCACCUUCGGGUGUGACUGCGUACCUUUUGUAUAAUGGGUCAGCGACUUAUAUUCUGUAGCAAGGUUAACCGUAUAGGGGAGCCGCAGGGAAACCGAGUCUUAACUGGGCGUUAAGUUGCAGGGUAUAGACCCGAAACCCGGUGAUCUAGCCACGGGCAGGUUGAAGGUUGGGUAACACUAACUGGAGGACCGAACCGACUAAUGUUGAAAAAUUAGCGGAUGACUUGUGGCUGGGGGUGAAAGGCCAAUCAAACCGGGAGAUAGCUGGUUCUCCCCGAAAGCUAUUUAGGUAGCGCCUCGUGAACUCAUCUUCGGGGGUAGAGCACUGUUUCGGCUAGGGGGUCAUCCCGACUUACCAACCCGAUGCAAACUACGAAUACCGAAGAAUGUUAUCACGGGAGACACACGGCGGGUGCUAACGUCCGUCGUGAAGAGGGAAACAACCCAGACCGCCAGCUAAGGUCCCAAAGUCAUGGUUAAGUGGGAAACGAUGUGGGAAGGCACAGACAGCCAGGAUGUUGGCUUAGAAGCAGCCAUCAUUUAAAGAAAGCGUAAUAGCUCACUGGUCGAGUCGGCCUGCGCGGAAGAUGUAACGGGGCUAAACCAUGCACCGAAGCUGCGGCAGCGACACUAUGUGUUGUUGGGUAGGGGAGCGUUCUGUAAGCCUGCGAAGGUGUGCUGUGAGGCAUGCUGGAGGUAUCAGAAGUGCGAAUGCUGACAUAAGUAACGAUAAAGCGGGUGAAAAGCCCGCUCGCCGGAAGACCAAGGGUUCCUGUCCAACGUUAAUCGGGGCAGGGUGAGUCGACCCCUAAGGCGAGGCCGAAAGGCGUAGUCGAUGGGAAACAGGUUAAUAUUCCUGUACUUGGUGUUACUGCGAAGGGGGGACGGAGAAGGCUAUGUUAGCCGGGCGACGGUUGUCCCGGUUUAAGCAUGUAGGCUGGUUGUCCAGGCAAAUCCGGAUAAUCAAGGCUGAGGUGUGAUGACGAGGCACUACGGUGCUGAAGUAACAAAUGCCCUGCUUCCAGGAAAAGCCUCUAAGCAUCAGGUAACAUUAAAUCGUACCCCAAACCGACACAGGUGGUCAGGUAGAGAAUACCAAGGCGCUUGAGAGAACUCGGGUGAAGGAACUAGGCAAAAUGGUGCCGUAACUUCGGGAGAAGGCACGCUGGUGUGUAGGUGAAGUCCCUGCGGAUGGAGCUGAGACCAGUCGAAGAUACCAGCUGGCUGCAACUGUUUAUUAAAAACACAGCACUGUGCAAACACGAAAGUGGACGUAUACGGUGUGACGCCUGCCCGGUGCCGGAAGGUUAAUUGAUGGGGUUAUCCGUAAGGAGAAGCUCUUGAUCGAAGCCCCGGUAAACGGCGGCCGUAACUAUAACGGUCCUAAGGUAGCGAAAUUCCUUGUCGGGUAAGUUCCGACCUGCACGAAUGGCGUAAUGAUGGCCAGGCUGUCUCCACCCGAGACUCAGUGAAAUUGAACUCGCUGUGAAGAUGCAGUGUACCCGCGGCAAGACGGAAAGACCCCGUGAACCUUUACUAUAGCUUGACACUGAACAUUGAGCCUUGAUGUGUAGGAUAGGUGGGAGGCUUUGAAGCGUGGACGCCAGUCUGCGUGGAGCCAACCUUGAAAUACCACCCUUUAAUGUUUGAUGUUCUAACGUUGGCCCCUGACCGGGGUUGCGGACAGUGUCUGGUGGGUAGUUUGACUGGGGCGGUCUCCUCCCAAAGCGUAACGGAGGAGCACGAAGGUUAGCUAAUCCUGGUCGGACAUCAGGAGGUUAGUGCAAUGGCAUAAGCUAGCUUGACUGCGAGCGUGACGGCGCGAGCAGGUGCGAAAGCAGGUCAUAGUGAUCCGGUGGUUCUGAAUGGAAGGGCCAUCGCUCAACGGAUAAAAGGUACUCCGGGGAUAACAGGCUGAUACCGCCCAAGAGUUCAUAUCGACGGCGGUGUUUGGCACCUCGAUGUCGGCUCAUCACAUCCUGGGGCUGAAGUAGGUCCCAAGGGUAUGGCUGUUCGCCAUUUAAAGUGGUACGCGAGCUGGGUUUAGAACGUCGUGAGACAGUUCGGUCCCUAUCUGCCGUGGGCGCUGGAGAAUUGAGGGGGGCUGCUCCUAGUACGAGAGGACCGGAGUGGACGCAUCACUGGUGUUCGGGUUGUCAUGCCAAUGGCACUGCCCGGUAGCUAAAUGCGGAAGAGAUAAGUGCUGAAAGCAUCUAAGCACGAAACUUGCCCCGAGAUGAGUUCUCCCUGAGACUUUAAGUCUCCUGAAGGAACGUUAAAGACGAUGACGUUGAUAGGCCGGGUGUGUAAGCGCAGCGAUGCGUUGAGCUAACCGGUACUAAUGAACCGUGAGGCUUAACCUU
rnacentral:rRNA from 1 species